GCUUUUUUUUUUGAGUAUGCUUAUGCAUAUUUCUAAUUUACUGUGAACUGUUUUACUGUUUAGCGUUUUGAGGGAUUGCCUAAAGAUUAUAGGGAUAGGUCUUUAGGAUGUUAACCUAGCUAAAGUCAGGCUUAGGCCUGGUAUCCUAAUUCAUUAUUUACCAAAAGAAUUCAGAAUUAAUAUUGUAACAUAAGCGUAAAAAACUUAUAAAACAACUUUUAACAACGGAUCUCUUGGUUCUCGCAUCGAUGAAGAACGUAGCAAAGUGCGAUAACUAGUGUGAAUUGCAUAUUCAGUGAAUCAUCGAGUCUUUGAACGCAUCUUGCGCUCAAUGGUAUUCCAUUGAGCACGCCUGUUUCAGUAUCAACAACAACCCACAUCCACAAUUUUGUUGUGAAUGGAAGUGAGAGUAUCGAUGUCAAAAUUGAACUCUUUAAAACUAUUAGGCCUGAACUAUUGUUCUAUUAGCCUGAACAUUUUUUUAAUAUAAAGGAAUGCUCUAGUUAAAAGACUAUCUUGGGGGCCUCCCAAAUAAAUCAUUUUUUUAAACUUGAUCUGAAAUCAGGUGGGAUUACCCGCUGAACUUAAGCAUAUCAAUAAGCGGAGGAA
rnacentral:rRNA from 1 species